rnacentral:lncRNA from 1 species
UUAUCGUGUGGGUGCAUGCCGACGGCGAUGUUAGUGCCAAUGCAUGUUGUUAUCUACUCUUUCUCUUCUUUUCUUUUGUUUGAAUAUUUGUACGUGGCUUCUCUUUCUUUUUCUUUUGAGAGAGGACCUUUUUUUUUCUGUUUACUGCAGGGGGUAAACAGUGGGCUAGAGGGAUAUGCUGAAUGGCCCAGUCUUUUUUCUUUUUUUGAGAGAAUCGAAUGCAUGCUGGCCCAGUCAGGAUAACAGUUCCGGACUGCUGGCUCGCUAGGCGCAAAUUUUACUGAUUUGGUCCAACCAAAAGGGUGCGGGCCUUAAAAGGCAUGGGCUGCAACUGUUCAACAUUCAGCCCAUGGGCUGGCUCUCUCUCCAUCUUGACGAUUAGAGUAAAUUAAAACAAUCCACCACAUUAUGGGGUAGGGUUUCAAUUCGGUAUCAGUCUACGUUUUUUUUACUAAAAACCACCUGAUUGCACUAAAUGGCUGACUGUUAGCGAAUAACCCUGAAAUUAACAGCGAGGGCUCACGGUCAGGCCAGCGUGGCUGAGUGUGCCUUCUUGAGUAAAUUUCACAAAACCACUAAGAGUUAGGAUUUCACGGAGCCACACACUUCAGGAGCUUGCAUCAGUUUGCCACUAUUCUAGGGGCAAUAACUAUCUGUUUGCUCAAAUCUCGCGGAUUAGUGCAUUUGACAGCAGAACUGACUUGUUGGGGCCACUUGUAAGGUCCUAGGUGGCAUCCAUUUAUUCAUUUAGCCCCCUAUUAUUUCCAUUAAUUCUUUUCUCCCCUUCUUCUUCCACUACUCCGGCUGCCUGCAUCUCGUCUGAGCAUCUUGUCGGAGUCCGCGGUGGUUUCAGGACGCGCCCGUACCCGUGG